CCUACGGGAGGCAGCAGUGGGGAAUAUUGCACAAUGGGGGAAACCCUGAUGCAGCGACGCCGCGUGAGUGAAGAAGUAUUUCGGUACGUAAAGCUCUGUCAGGAGGGAAGAAGUGGUUAUAUGCGAAUAGUGUAUGACUUUGACGGUACCUCCAAAGGAAGCACCGGCUAACUCCGUGCCAGCAGCCGCGGUAAUACGGAGGGUGCGAGCGUUAAUCGGAAUCACUGGGCGUAAAGCGCGCGUAGGCGGCGUUUCAAGUCAGGGGUGAAAUCCCACGGCCCAACCGUGGAACUGCCUUUGAAACUGUAGAGCUUGAGUGUCGGAGAGGGUGGCGGAAUUCCAGGUGUAGGAGUGAAAUCCGGAGAUAUCUGGAGGAACACCGGUGGCGAAGGCGGCCACCUGGACGACAACUGACGCUGAGGUGCGAAAGCGUGGGUAGCAAACAGGAUUAGAUACCCCUGUAGUC
rnacentral:rRNA from 1 species